CGGAAUCUACCUUUUCGUGGGGGAUAACGUAGGGAAACUUACGCUAAUACCGCAUACGACCUUCGGGUGAAAGCAGGGGACCUUCGGGCCUUGCGCGGAUAGAUGAGCCGAUGUCGGAUUAGCUAGUUGGCGGGGUAAAGGCCCACCAAGGCGACGAUCCGUAGCUGGUCUGAGAGGAUGAUCAGCCACACUGGAACUGAGACACGGUCCAGACUCCUACGGGAGGCAGCAGUGGGGAAUAUUGGACAAUGGGCGCAAGCCUGAUCCAGCCAUACCGCGUGGGUGAAGAAGGCCUUCGGGUUGUAAAGCCCUUUUGUUGGGAAAGAAAAGCAGUCGGCUAAUACCCGGUUGUUCUGACGGUACCCAAAGAAUGAGCACCGGCUAACUUCGUGCCAGCAGCCGCGGUAAUACGAAGGGUGCAAGCGUUACUCGGAAUUACUGGGCGUAAAGCGUGCGUAGGUGGUUGUUUAAGUCUGUUGUGAAAGCCCUGGGCUCAACCUGGGAAUUGCAGUGGAUACUGGGCGACUAGAGUGUGGUAGAGGGUAGUGGAAUUCCCGGU
rnacentral:rRNA from 1 species